AGAGAUCUGGUGAACCCAACUCAUGCAGCACCGCGGAGGUAAGCCUCAGGACACAUUCGGGGACAGAGAGAAGAGGAACAUGGAUCUGGAAGAGCAGACUGAGAAAAUUGCCAGAACAUCUUUUAAUGCAGUAGGAAACAUGAAACAGAUGAAAUGAUUGAGUAUUAAGAAAAAGAAGAGUUGUGUGCUGGUCAGCAGAGAAGAGUUGCUCUGGGAGAAGUAAGCUGUCAUGUUGUAAGUUACCCUUUGGAGAGGUCCAUUCGGCAAGGGACUGAAGGAGGCCUCCAGCUAACAGCCGGUGAGACUGUUAGUCCAAUAACCUGUGAGGACCUGAAUUUAGCCAACAACCAUGUGAGUGAGCCUGGAAGCAGACCGUCCCCAGUAGAACCUUCGGAUGAAAGCACAGCCCUGCCAAAACCUGGACUGUAGCCUUGUGAGAGACCUUGAGACAGAGGAUCCAGGUAAACCACACCUAGAUUCCUGACCCACAGAAACUGUCAGCCAUGAGAAGAACAUGCCCCAGGUAGCUGCUGGCCCCAGAAUGAAGACACAUGUGGAACAAACCUUAACCCAAGUUGAAGCUUGGAGCUGAGCCGAGCUAAACUACACCUAAUCUUCAGAUCCCUGAGCUAGAAAUAAAUGCUUAUUGUUUAAAAAGUCA